UUUAGAGUUUGAUCCUGGCUCAGAACGAACGCUGGCGGCAGGCCUAACACAUGCAAGUCGAGCGAGAUCUUCGGAUCUAGCGGCGGACGGGUGAGUAACGCGUGGGGAUGUGCCCUUUGCUACGGAAUAGUCCCGGGAAACUGGGUUUAAUACCGUAUGAGCCCUUCGGGGGAAAGAUUUAUCGGCAAAGGAUCAACCCGCGUUGGAUUAGGUAGUUGGUGGGGUAAUGGCCUACCAAGCCGACGAUCCAUAGCUGGUUUGAGAGGAUGAUCAGCCACACUGGGACUGAGACACGGCCCAGACUCCUACGGGAGGCAGCAGUGGGGAAUCUUAGACAAUGGGGGCAACCCUGAUCUAGCCAUGCCGCGUGAACGAUGAAGGCCUUAGGGUUGUAAAGUUCUUUCAGCUGGGAAGAUAAUGACGGUACCAGCAGAAGAAGCUAGA
rnacentral:rRNA from 1 species